rnacentral:rRNA from 1 species
UACAGAGAGUGCGAGCGUUAAUCGGAAUUACUGGGCGUAAAGCGCACGUAGGUGGAUGUUUAAGUCGGAUGUGAAAUCCCUGGGCUUAACCUAGGAAUUGCAUUCGAUACUGGGCGUCUAGAGUAUAGUAGAGGGAAGUGGAAUUUCCGGUGUAGCGGUGAAAUGCGUAGAUAUCGGUAGGAACAUCAGUGGCGAAAGCGGCUUCCUGGACUAAUACUGCCACUUAGGUGCGUAAGCGUGGGGAGCAACCAGG